rnacentral:rRNA from 1 species
AGACUAACACAUGCAAGUCGAGCGGUAGCACAGAGAGCUUGCUCUCGGGUGACGAGCGGCGGACGGGUGAGUAAUGUCUGGGAAACUGCCUGAUGGAGGGGGAUAACUACUGGAAACGGUAGCUAAUACCGCAUAACGUCGCAAGACCAAAGUGGGGGACCUUCGGGCCUCAUGCCAUCAGAUGUGCCCAGAUGGGAUUAGCUAGUAGGUGGGGUAACGGCUCACCUAGGCGACGAUCCCUAGCUGGUCUGAGAGGAUGACCAGCCACACUGGAACUGAGACACGGUCCAGACUCCUACGGGAGGCAGCAGUGGGGAAUAUUGCACAAUGGGCGCAAGCCUGAUGCAGCCAUGCCGCGUGUGUGAAGAAGGCCUUCGGGUUGUAAAGCACUUUCAGCGGGGAGGAAGGCGGUGAGGUUAAUAACCUCAUCGAUUGACGUUACCCGCAGAAGAAGCACCGGCUAACUCCGUGCCAGCAGCCGCGGUAAUACGGAGGGUGCAAGCGUUAAUCGGAAUUACUGGGCGUAAAGCGCACGCAGGCGGUCUGUCAAGUCGGAUGUGAAAUCCCCGGGCUCAACCUGGGAACUGCAUUCGAAACUGGCAGGCUAGAGUCUUGUAGAGGGGGGUAGAAUUCCAGGUGUAGCGGUGAAAUGCGUAGAGAUCUGGAGGAAUACCGGUGGCGAAGGCGGCCCCCUGGACAAAGACUGACGCUCAGGUGCGAAAGCGUGGGGAGCAAACAGGAUUAGAUACCCUGGUAGUCCACGCCGUAAACGAUGUCGAUUUGGAGGUUGUGCCCUUGAGGCGUGGCUUCCGGAGCUAACGCGUUAAAUCGACCGCCUGGGGAGUACGGCCGCAAGGUUAAAACUCAAAUGAAUUGACGGGGGCCCGCACAAGCGGUGGAGCAUGUGGUUUAAUUCGAUGCAACGCGAAGAACCUUACCUGGUCUUGACAUCCACAGAACUUUCCAGAGAUGGAUUGGUGCCUUCGGGAACUGUGAGACAGGUGCUGCAUGGCUGUCGUCAGCUCGUGUUGUGAAAUGUUGGGUUAAGUCCCGCAACGAGCGCAACCCUUAUCCUUUGUUGCCAGCGGUUAGGCCGGGAACUCAAAGGAGACUGCCAGUGAUAAACUGGAGGAAGGUGGGGAUGACGUCAAGUCAUCAUGGCCCUUACGACCAGGGCUACACACGUGCUACAAUGGCAUAUACAAAGAGAAGCGACCUCGCGAGAGCAAGCGGACCUCAUAAAGUAUGUCGUAGUCCGGAUUGGAGUCUGCAACUCGACUCCAUGAAGUCGGAAUCGCUAGUAAUCGUAGAUCAGAAUGCUACGGUGAAUACGUUCCCGGGCCUUGUACACACCGCCCGUCACACCAUGGGAGUGGGUUGCAAAAGAAGUAGGUAGCUUAACCUUCGGGAGGGCGCUUACCACUUGGAUAC